UGAGCUUCGGAAAGAUUUUUAGGUGGAGAUAAUGUCAAAGCCUGGUGUUACAAGCAGGCAGCGGGUGGGUGAAUAUGAAAAGGAGAAAGUAUGAGAUAGUAGUGGAGUGAGACAGAACAGAUUCAGGAGCCAGCAUUUGUGAAGGGAAUGGAAGAUCACAUGAGGAGGCACAGAUUUAACUAGAGACUCAGAAAUCUAAAAUUGAAGAACAAAGCGUGAAGGCUCGAAUGGGGAAUGGAACAGCAGUAAUCAGUGGUAAUCAGCACAGGUAUCAAGUGGCUCAGAAAAACUGACACGAAGGUUUUCCUGCCAUUUCAAACAAAUGCUCUGUACCAGUUUGUAUUCCCACCACCAAGGAAUGAAAGUUCCUUUUGCUUCGCAUCCUCUGUCAGCAUUUGGUGAUGUCCGUGCUUUGGAUUGUGGCCAAAUAGGCUCAUGUGAUCCCACUGGGCUCAUCUGGAUAACACAGGAUAAUCUUCCUACUCUAAGGUGAGUGUGUGCUUAAUUUCAUAUGCAAAGUGCCUUCACCUAAGUUAGUGUUCGACUGAAUAGCCUGAGGAUGAGAGUUCACAUUGAGCGGCUCUUCCGAAUCUGCCUACCACGAGAAGCCUUUAUCUACCUCUCCAGCCUCCUGUGUGGUCACAUAACUCAGCAAAUGUGAGUAAAACAGGACAUGUUUGUAUUUGAAGUUGAUCAAGUUUCCCCACCCCUUUAUUUUUCCUUCAGUCGCAUUUGACUUCUAAAAUUUGUGAGUUUUCCUAUCACUCCCCUGGGGGUUUUCAAGACCAAGCCUAAUUCCUAGGCCAUGCCCAUGAUUGGCAAGUGGCCCUGGGUGAAGAAACAGAAACAAUUCACUCACAGCUCAUCUGGGAAGGGCUCUCCACGCUCUGGAAUUGUAUUUCAUCUAGCUUUGGCUGGCUUACGGGAUGGAUUUCAUUGAUUCCAUAACUAUCUGAUGCGUAUAACGUUAGAUAAUUUAUGUAAGUUAUCU